rnacentral:misc_RNA from 1 species
GAUGAAGAACGUAGUGAAAUGCGAUAAGUAAUGUGAAUUGCAGAAUUCAGUGAAUCAUCGAAUCUUUGAACGCACCUUGCGCUCCUUGGUAUUCCGAGGAGCAUGCCUGUUUGAGUGUCAUUAAAUUCUCAACUACACUGACUUAGAAUUGGUGUGGCUUGGAUUUGGGGGGAAAAUUGUUGUGGGCUUUUUGUAUAGUCUGCUCCCCUGAAAUUGAUUAGCGGUACCUUUGUGGAACUGUCUACAGGUGUGAUAAUUAUCUACAUCUUAGACAUCUGCUGGAAUGCUGCUUUCUAAACCUUACUUGUAUUGACAAUCUUGACCUCAAAUCAGGUAGGACUACCCGCUGAACUUAAGCAUAUCAAUAAGCGGAGGA